GAAUAUUGGACAAUGGGCGAAAGCCUGAUCCAGACAUGACGCGUGUGUGAAGAAGGUCUUCGGAUUGUAAAGCACUUUAAGUUGGGAGGAAGGGUUGUAACCUAAUACGUUGCAAUUUUGACGUUACCGACAGAAUAAGGACCGGCUAACUUCGUGCCAGCAGCCGGGGUAAUACGAAGGGUGCAAGCGUUAAUCGGAAUUACUGGGCGUAAAGCGCGCGUAGUUUGUUUGUUAAGUUGGAAGUGAAAGCCCCGGGCUCAACCUGGGAACUGCUUUCAAAACUGCAAACGUAGAGGAGGGAAGAGGGGGGGGGAAGGGCGGGGGGAGAGAUGGAAUGCGUAGAUAUAGGAAGGGAGACCAGUGGCGAAGGCGACCACCUGGGCUAAUACUGACACUGAGGUGCGAAAGCGUGGGGAGCAAACA
rnacentral:rRNA from 1 species